rnacentral:rRNA from 1 species
CUGCCGGUGACAAACCGGAGGAAGGUGGGGAUGACGUCAAGUCCUCAUGGCCCUUAUAGGUGGGGCUACACACGUCAUACAAUGGAUGGUACAAAGGGUCGCCAACCCGCGAGGGGGAGCCAAUCCCAUAAAGCCAUUCGUAGUCCGGAUCGUAGUCUGCAACUCGACUACGUGAAGUCGGAAUCGCUAGUAAUCGUGGAUCAGAAUGUCACGGUGAAUACGUUCCCGGGUCUUGUACACACCGCCCGUCACACCAUGGGAGCGGGUUCUGCCAGAAGUAGUUAGCCUAACCGCAAGGAGGGCGAUUACCACGGCAGGGUUCGUGACUGGGGUGAAGUCGUAACAAGGUA